GCUCCGGUGGCCUAGUGGUUAGAGCAUCCGCCUCGGAUGCAGGAGGUCGUGGGUUCGAUGCUAAUAGCCUCGCUUGACGUU